GACGAACGCUGGCGGCGUGCUUAACACAUGCAAGUCGAACGGAAAGGCCCUGCUUGCAGGGUACUCGAGUGGCGAACGGGUGAGUAACACGUGGGUGAUCUGCCCUGCACUUCGGGAUAAGCCUGGGAAACUGGGUCUAAUACCGGAUAUGACCUUCCAUGUAGUGUGGGGGGUGGAGAGAUUUAUCGGUGUGGGAUGAGCCCGCGGCCUAUCAGCUUGUUGGUGGGGUAAUGGCCUACCAAGGCGUCGACGGGUAGCCGGCCUGAGAGGGUGGACGGCCACAUUGGGACUGAGAUACGGCCCAGACUCCUACGGGAGGCAGCAGUGGGGAAUAUUGCACAAUGGGCGGAAGCCUGAUGCAGCGACGCCGCGUGGGGGAUGACGGCCUUCGGGUUGUAAACCUCUUUCGACAGGGACGAAGCUUCGGUGACGGUACCUGUAUAAGAAGCACCGGCUAACUACGUG
rnacentral:rRNA from 1 species